CACUCCUCUAUCAAUCUUUUUCAGGUCUGAGUAUCUCAUUUCUCUCUUUUUUGCUGCUUCCUUGAGUGCAGCUUUCACAAGUUUCCUAGCAAUUCCCUGCAUUAAAAGGGGGGAUAUAAAACAAGUGUCAAAACAUGAUCAACCAAUUUGAGCAUUUC